CGGGGCGUAGCGCAGCCCGGUAGCGCGCCUGCUUUGGGAGCAGGAUGUCCCAGGUUCAAAUCCUGGCGCCCCGACCA
rnacentral:tRNA from 1 species